rnacentral:lncRNA from 1 species
GUAAGAGUGAAAAGGCAAACCACCAAAUGAGAGAUAUUUACAAUACACAUCUGACAAAGACUAGCAUCCUGAAUACAUAAAGAAUAAGUCAGUUAAGAAAAAGUCAGUUUCCCCUUUAUCUUCCUCCCACCCUCUCUCCCCCCAAAAGAAAAAGAAAAUAAAAAGGUCAAGACUUCUAAGAUUCUUAAAUGGGUACUUUACAAAAGAGAGUAUCUGUAUGGCCAAUAAACAUGAAACAUGCUUCACUUUGUUAUCAAGGAAAUACAAUUAAAACCACUAGGUGAUCCUACUGUAUACCUGCCAGCAUGUCUAAAAUUAAAGACAAACUACUAAUCUACUGUCUCAAUGAAUUUGCCCAUUCUGGACAUUUUGUAUAAAUGGAAUCCUAUAGCGUGACUUUGUGACUGGCUUCUUUCAUUUAACAAUGUUUUCAAGGUUUAUCCAUGUUGUAGCAUGUAUCAAUACUUCAUUCCUUUUUAUAACUUAACAUAUUCCAUUGUAGGAUAUGCCACAUUUUGUUUAUCCAUUUGUUGGUAGGUGUUUGGGUUUACAUCUUUUUGCUAUUAUGAAUAAUGCUGCUACAGCCAUUUGUAUACAAGUUUCUGUGAGGACGGAUGUUCUCAUUCAGUGGGGUAUUUAUCUAGAGGUGGCAUUGCUGGGUCAUAUGGUAACUACAUGUUUACUCUUAUGAGGAACCACCACAUUGUUCCUGAAAGUGGUUACUAGUUUUCAUUUUACAUUCCCACCAGCGAAGUAUGGGGAUUCUAAUUUCUCCACAUCUUUGCCAAUACUCAUUUUAAAUUUUGGCUGUGAAGUGGUUUUGGUUUGCAUUUCCCCAACUGCUAAUGAGAAUGUAUAUCUUUUUUGGAGAAAUGUCUAUUCAAAUCCUUUGGCCAUUUUAACAUUAGGUUACUUGUUUUGAAUUGUAAGAAUUGUUUAUAUAAUCCGGACACUAGACUCUUAUUAGAUAUAUCUUCUCUCAGAAAGGGGAACAACUGUUUGGACAUUAAUAAGGUGUUACAUGAAAGAGGAACUCCUGUAUUUUGGCAUUUUGCAAACUGUUGCAAUAUGCAAUAACCAUUUUGGAAAAACUGUUUGGCUUUAUCUACUAAAGCUGAAUAUACACAUAGCCAUGGACCCAGCAAUCCAUAUCUAUAUACAUACUCAAUAGAAAUUAGAACAUAUUUCCCACCACACACAUUUGAGAGUGCUCGUAACAGCACAAUUUGUAAUAGCAAUUGAAAAGCUGAAAGCUGCUAGGUUUAAUGAUGAUCCUACAAAGCUGUCCAUAUCCUAAUCCCUAGAACCUGUGAAUGUUACCUUAUUUGGCAAAGGGACUUUGCAGAUAUGCUUAGGAUUCUGAGAGGGGGAAUCAGAUUUCCAGUUUCCAAGAAAGCAAGCAAGGAGUUUGGAAGUCAUCUCUCCAUCCUAACAAAAGGCUGAACUGAAAAAUCAACAACUCUUUUUUGAUUUGCCAGAGAAGUGAAAUCCCAGGGCCAAGCCCUAUCCCCAGGUGGGAGAUUUGCAAGUGGACAUAGAAUAACAACUUGCUUAACUAGAAACUCCCAAGCAGAAAUAUGAGGGAGACAGUACUGGGGUAGGAAAGCCUGAAUUGUAACUGACAAGUUGCUGGAGACUGAGUAGGUAAGUCUGUUAGAAAUCCCCCAGUCAUAGGGGGGGCUUGGGGGUGAAGAUGGGAGUAUGAGAAGCACGGUGAAGUUCACAGCCCAGGAGCACAGGCUCACUGAGACCUAAUCACAGAACUACAGAAUGCUUCCCCUCCCCCUAACACUCUCCCACCACAUUACUAACAGUUUAUUCACCAGAGUUCUUUUCAUCAUGUCCAGCUAUCAACAGAAAAUUACAAAGCAUAGAAAUAGGCAAAAAGUACUUUGAAGAGACAGAGCAAACAUCAGAAUUGAAUUCAGAUAUGGCAAAAAUGAGUUAUCCCGCUAUGAAUUUAAAGCAACUAUGAUUAUUAAGGGCUCUAACAGAAAAAGUAGGCAAUGUGCAAGAACAGAUGGAUAAUAUAAACAGAGAGAAAUUCUAAGAAAUAAAAAAAUGCUAGAGUUAAAAUAAAAAGAAACAGAAAUGAAGAAUACUUUUUAUGGGGUAGUUGACAGAACAUGGUUGAAGAAAGAAUCUCUGAGUGACAACAUAUAUAAAUAGAAAUUUCCAACUAAAAAGCAGAGAAAAAAAGGUCAGAGGGGGAGGGGACAAGGAACAGAAUAUCCUAAAACUAUAGAGAUGUAACAUAUAUAUAAUGAAAGUACCAGAAGAAAGGAACAGCAAAAAUAUUUGAAGCAAUAAUGACUGAGAAUUUCCCCAAAUUAGUCAAGACACUAAACCACAGAUCCAGAAAGUUCACAGAACACUAAGAAGGAUAAAUCCCAAAACUGCACCUAGGCAUAAUAUAUCAAACUGCAUUAAAAUCAAAGAUACAAAAUCUUGAAAUAAGCCAAAGGGGGGAAAAAUGCCCAUAGAGGAGCU